AGCUGAGAGGAGCUUGCUUUUCUUAGCUUAGUGGCGAACGGGUGAGUAACGCGUGAGUAACCUGCCCUGGAGUGGGGGACAACAGUUAGAAAUAGCUGCUAAUACCGCAUAAGCGCACGGUACCGCAUGGUACAGUGUGAAAAACUCCGGUGGUGUGAGAUGGAUCCGCGUCUGAUUAGGUAGUUGGUGGGGUAACGGCCUACCAAGACGACGAUCAGUAGCCGGACUGAGAGGUUGAACGGCCACAUUGGGACUGAGAUACGGCCCAGACUCC
rnacentral:rRNA from 1 species